UACGUAGGGGGCGAGCGUUGUCCGGAAUUACUGGGCGUAAAGCGCGCGUAGGUGGUCCGCCAAGUUCGGCGUGAAAUCUCCAGGCUCAACUUGGAGGGGUCGUCGAAGACUGACGGACUAGGGUCUGGCAGAGGCAGGUAGAAUUCCCGGUGGAGCGGUGAAAUGCGUAGAGAUCGGGAGGAAUACCAGUGGCGAAGGCGGCCUGCUGGGCCACGACCGACACUGAGGUGCGAAAGCGUGGGGAGCGAACCGGAUUAGAUACCCGGGUAGUCCACGCCCUAAACGAUGGGUACUAGGCGUGGGGGGUAUCGACCCCCUCUGUGCCGUAGCUAACGCGAGAAGUACCCCGCCUGGGGAGUACGGCCGCAAGGUUGAA
rnacentral:rRNA from 1 species